GACAGAGGCCUCGAGCGUUAGGCGGAAUCACUGGGCUUAAAGCGUGUGUAGGCGGAUCGUUAAGUGCCUUGUGAAAUCCCACGGCUUAACUGUGGAACGGCUGGGCAUACUGGCGGUCUUGAGCCAUCUAGGGGCGACUGGAACAAACGGUGGAGCGGUGAAAUGCGUAGAUAUCGUUUGGAACGCCAAUGGUGAAAACAGGUCGCUGGGGAUGAGCUGACGCUGGAGACACGGAAAGCCAGGGGAGCAAACGGG
rnacentral:rRNA from 1 species